rnacentral:rRNA from 1 species
AUACGGAGGGUGCAAGCGUUACUCGGAAUCACUGGGCGUAAAGCGCGCGCAGGCGGGCUGAUAAGUUGGAUGUGAAAGCCUACGGCUCAACCGUAGAACUGCAUCCAAAACUGUCAGUCUAGAGUCUGGGAGGGGAAGAUGGAAUUAGUUGUGUAGGGGUAAAAUCCGUAGAGAUAACUAGGAAUACCAAAAGCGAAGGCGAUCUUCUGGAACAGUACUGACGCUGAGGCGCGAAAGCGUGGGGAGCAAACAGGAUUAGAAACCCGAGUAGUCC